GACGGAAGGUGCAAGCGUUGCUCGGAAUCACUGGGCGUAAAGGGUGCGUAGGCGGCUUCUUAAGUCUGGUGUGAAAGCCCAGGGCUCAGCUCUGGAAGUGCACUAGAAACUGGGAAGCUUGAGUACCGGAGGGGAGAGUGGAAUUCCUGGUGUAGCGGUGAAAUGCGUAGAUAUCAAGUGGAACACCAGUGGCGAAGGCGAGUCCCUGGACAAGACCUGACACUGAGGCACGAAAGCCAGGGGAGCAAACAGG
rnacentral:rRNA from 1 species